UAUAUAUAUAUAUAUAUAUAUAUGUGUGUGUGUGUGUGUACAUACAUGUGUAUAUGUACAUGCAUACAUAAUGGAACUUGCAGGUAAGAUUAUUAACUGUGAACAUUUAAUAAACAGCAAAAAUUUCACCCGGAAUUUUUUUCCCCCCUCCUUGCAACUUGAUGGACAAUUCUCCCUACCCCCCUUUUUAAAAAAAAAAAAAAUCUGACUCCACAUCAAGUCAUUUGUACUUUUUGACUGUUUGUUCUGGACAGUUUUACCAUUUUGCUUCAAGUGCUUCUGUUACUUCAAAACAUGCCAGAAGCAGUCUCCCCCCUUCGAUUACCAAUGAGAAGUUUAUCUACUUCAGAGACUUUGUUAACCCGUCUAUAGAAAUUUAACUACCCAAACAAAGAUUUCCGAUUCUUGGGCAAUACAAGGAAUUAUGCAGUGCAGUGGCUUUGUUUGCAAGAGAGAUACAGAGAGAGAAGAAGCAUGAUUUGAGGAUGCCAGGCUGAAAACGGGAAGAGUGGCGGGAAAAGAGUCACGGUUGCUAUUUUAUUUUUUUUUUAAACCUCAAAUGAAACUGAGCUGGCAUCAUAAACAUACGGCAACUGAAAUUUCAAACUUUAAAAGCAAGCUGUAACUCCAUCCUGCCAUAUUUUAUUUGCGAUAAAUCCCUCUGUCCUUUUUCUUUUUUUGGUUGGUUGCAUGGUUGUUUAAGGGGACUGGCUAGAAGCUAAGAAAAUCUCAUUCCCACCCAUCCAGUCAUUUUUGUUAUAUUUUGACAUUAUAUGUUCUUAUAUGCAGAGAGGAAAAUAAAUUAAAUUCACUUACCAUGAGGUCAACCACUCCGUUCUAGUGCCAGGAAGGCAGCGCAUCUUAAGGGGAGACAACUCCUCUCAGUCUUAAGGGAGACAACUCAAUCCCUUCCCUCCUCACUCCCAAAAAGAAAAAAAAUUACCAGAAACUUCUCAAUAGCUUUUGAUUUAAACCAAACAGAAAAAAAAAAAAAAAAAAAAAAGGAAAUACCUUCAUAGAUAUGGGUAUUGAGUGAAGAGGGUAAAUUAUAAGAUACCACAAAGAGAGCAGUACAAUAUUCUCUAAAAUUGAGUUCUGCUCUUAAUAAUGUUUAAAUCAAAGAGACAUUACUGCAAUGUCGGCAAAACAUUAUUUUCGUCAGUGAAUUUGAUUUUCUAAUAGUUUCCCCAACAUCAAAGAAUAUCAAAUAAACUCUGAGGAAUUAAAGAAAUUGUGAUCAUUA
rnacentral:lncRNA from 1 species